CACGUAGGGCGCAAGCGUUGUCCGGAAUUAUUGGGCGUAAAGAGCUCGUAGGCGGUCUGUUACGUCUGCUGUGAAAACUCGGGGCUUAACCCCGAGCUUGCAGUGGAUACGGGCAGGCUGGAGUUCGGUAGGGGAGACUGGAAUUCCUGGUGUAGCGGUGAAAUGCGCAGAUAUCAGGAGGAACACCGGUGGCGAAGGCGGGUCUCUGGGCCGAUACUGACGCUGAGGAGCGAAAGCGUGGGGAGCGAACAGG
rnacentral:rRNA from 1 species